GACGUAGGAUGCAAGCGUUGUUCGGAUUUAUUGGGCGUAAAGCGAGCGUAGGUGGCUAGUUAAGUCUGGUGUUAAAGCUAGGGGCUCAACCCCUGUGUUGCACUGGAAACUGGCUGGCUUGAGGAUGGUAGGGGAAGGUGGAAUUCCGAGUGUAGCGGUGAAAUGCGUAGAUAUUCGGAGGAACACCAGUGGCGAAGGCGACUUACUGGACACAUAUUGACGCUGAGGUGCGAAAGCGUGGGGAGCAAACAGG
rnacentral:rRNA from 1 species